rnacentral:ncRNA from 1 species
UAGAAGUGCUAGGGGUGCCCUCGGGCUGAGACGUGGAAUUUCAUUCCUAAACCCUUUUACCUGAUCUGGAUAAUACCAGCGUAGGGAAGCGAUUUAAUCAUUGG